UCAAGCUACGAAGGGCACACGGUGGAUGCCUUGGUGUCAGGAGGCGAUGAAAGACGUGGUAAGCUGCGAUAAGCUUCGGGGAGCCGCUAAACAGGUUUAGAUCCGGAGAUUUCUGAAUGGGGAAACCUAUUAGGAGUAAUAUCUUAAUAUCUAUUACUGAAUUCAUAGGUAAUAGAGGCGAACGAGGGGAACUGAAACAUCUAAGUACCCUCAGGAAAAGAAAACAAUAGUGAUUCUCCUAGUAGCGGCGAGCGAAAGGGGAAGAGCUUAAACCAAAUAUAUGAAAUAGCCCAUAAGCGUUGUAUAUUUGGGGUUGUGGGUUUCUAUCGGAUGAGGUUAUGGACUCGUCGAGAAGUUACAAAUCUAAUUUAUAGUUGAACAACCUGGAAAGAUUGACCGCAGAGGGUGAUAGUCCCGUAAGCGAAAUGAAUUAGACUUCUUGGAUAGAAUACCCGAGUACCACGGGACACGGGAAAUCUUGUGGGAAUCUGGGAGGACCAUCUCCCAAAGCUAAAUACUACCUGGCAACCGAUAGUGAACUAGUACCGUGAGGGAAAGGUGAAAAGUACUCCGGUGAGGAGAGUGAAAUAGUACCUGAAACCGUGUGUCUACAAGCAGUGGGAGUCCUAUUCAUGGUUGCUUGUCAACUGUGAAGGAUGACCGCGUGCCUUUUGCAUAAUGAGUCAGCGAGUUAUUCUGUGUCGCAAGGUUAAGCCGUUAGGUGUAGCCGUAGCGAAAGCGAGUCUUAAUAGGGCGUAUCCCCGCUUAAGCGGGGUGUAGUUGCACGGAGUAGACCCGAAACCGAGUGAUCUACCCAUGGCCAGGGUAAAACGGGAGUAAGAUCCCGUGGAGGCUCGAACCGGUGUUGGUUGAAAACAACUCGGAUGAGCUGUGGGUAGGAGUGAAAGGCUAAUCAAACUCGGAGAUAGCUGGUUCUCCCCGAAAUAUAUUUAGGUAUAGCCUUGCAAUUGAGUGAUGGAGGUAGGGCACUGGAUGGGCUAGGGGUCUUACAGGACUACCAAACCCAACCAAACUUCGAAUGCCAUCAUCUCUUAUUGCAGGAGUCAGACUACGGGAGAUAAGUUCCGUGGUCGAGAGGGAAACAACCCAGACCAUCAGCUAAGGUCCCAAAAAUGUACUUAGUGGAAAAGGAAGUGGAAACGUUCAGACAGCCAGGAGGUUGGCUUAGAAGCAGCCAUCCUUUAAAGAAAGCGUAACAGCUCACUGGUCGAGUGGGUCUGCGCCGAAAAUGUAACGGGGCUACCGAAGCUAUGGCUCUCUAUGUUUUGCAUAGGGGGGGUAGGGGAGCAUUCCAUUGUAGGUUGAAGAUCGACCGAAAGGACGGUUGGACGAAAUGGAAGAGAGUAUGCUGACAUGAGUAGCGAUAAUGCCGGUGAGAAACCGGCACGCCGAAAACCUAAGGUUUCCUGAGGAAGGUUAAUCCGCUCAGGGUUAGUCAACACCUAAGCUGAGGCCGAAAGGCGUAAGUGAUGGAAAACAGGUUAAUAUUCCUGUACCACCAGAUGAACGUUUGAGUGAAGGGGGGACGUGGAAGGGUAGAUCAUCCAGGGAUUGGAUGUCCUGGUUCAAGCCAGUAGGUGGAGAGGGUAGGCAAAUCCGCCCUCUUGUAUAACACCGAGAGGUUAUGAGGAUCUCGUUUUCGAGAACAAACUGGUUGAUCCCAUGCCACCAAGAAAAGCCUCGUAGCGAGUUUAUUUGGUGAUUGUACCGUAAACCGACACAGGUAGGUGAGGAGAGUAUCCUAAGGCGCUUGAGUGAAUCCUCGUUAAGGAACUCGGCCAAUUAACCCCGUAACUUCGGGAGAAGGGGUGCCCUUGUUAGGUGAAGUAACUUGCUUAUGGAGCCGAGAAGGGCCGCAGAGAAAUGGCUGUAGCGACUGUUUACUAAAAACACAGGUCUCUGCUAAGUCGCAAGACGAUGUAUAGGGACUGACGCCUGCCCGGUGCUAGAAGGUUAUGGGGAUUUGUCAUUCUUUCGAUUCGUCGGAAGGAGAAGCAGUGAACCGAAGCCCUAGUAAACGGCGGCCGUAACUAUAACGGUCCUAAGGUAGCGAAAUUCCUUGUCGGGUAAGUUCCGACCUGCACGAAUGGUGUAACGACUU
rnacentral:rRNA from 1 species